rnacentral:tRNA from 1 species
GCUUCGGUAGCUCAGUUGGUAGAGCACUUGCCCGCGUAAGGCAAAGGUCCCGAGUUCGAGUCUCGGGGCCGGCCGAAGUG